UUCCGGUUGAUCCUGCCGCCGGCCACCGCUAUCAAGUUCCGACUAAGCCAUGCGAGUCAAGGUAUCGUAAGAUGCCGGCAAACUGCUCAGUAACACGUGGAUAAUCUAACCUUGAGUAAGGGAUAACCUCGGGAAACUGAGGAUAAUACCUUAUAAUUGCUUAAAACUGGAAUGUUUAAGCAAUAAAAGUUCCGACGCUCAAGGAUGAGUCUGCGACCUAUCAGGUAGUAGGUGGUGUAAUGGACCACCUAGCCUCAGACGGGUACGGGCUUUGGGAGAAGUCGCCCGGAGAUGGAUUCUGAGACACGAAUCCAGGUCCUACGGGACGCAGCAGGCGCGAAACCUCCACAAUGUGGGAAAUCACGAUGGGGGAACUCCAAGUGCCUACGCUUUAAGUGUAGGCUGUUCUCGAGCCUAAAAAGCUCGAGAAGUAAGGGCCGGGUAAGACGGGUGCCAGCCGCCGCGGUAAUACCCGCGGCCCGAGUGGUGCUCAUUAUUAUUGAGCCUAAAGCGUCCGUAGCUGGCCGGGCAAAUCUCCGGGUAAAUCGGGCAGCUCAACUGUCCGAAUUCCGGAGACACUGCUCGGCUUGGGAUCGGGAGAGGGUGAAGGUACUCCCUGGGUAGGGGUAAAAUCCUGUAAUCCGGGGGGGACCACCAGUGGCGAAGGCGUUCACCUAGAACGAAUCCGACAGUGAGGGACGAAGCCCUAGGGCGCAAACGGGAUUAGAUACCCCGGUAGUCUAGGGUGUAAACGCUGCAGACUUGGUGUUGGGGGUCCUGCGUGGGUUGCCAGUGCCGGAGCGAAGGUGUUAAGUCUGCCGCUUGGGGAGUACGGUCGCAAGACUGAAACUUAAAGGAAUUGGCGGGAGAGCACCGCAACGGGAGGAGCGUGCGGUUCAAUUGGAUUCAACGCCGGAA
rnacentral:rRNA from 1 species